CAAUAGCGUAUAUUAAAGUUGUUGCAGUUAAAAAGCUCGUAGUUGAAUUUCGGGUCCCCGCGCUCGGCGCUUCAUUGUGCCGUCGUGGUGUCUCUCCUCGCCGUAAGGCGUCCUUUACUGUGAAAAAAUUAGAGUGUUCAAAGCAGGCAAUCGCUUGAAUACAUUAGCAUGGAAUAAUAAGAUAGGAUCUUGUCUAUUUUGUUGGUUGCGGACAACGAUAAUGAUUAAUAGGGAUAGUUGGGGGUGUCCGUAUUGAGCUGUCAGAGGUGAAAUUCUUGGAUUUGCUCAAGACGAACUACUGCGAAAGCAUUCACCAAGGAUGUUUUCAUUAA
rnacentral:rRNA from 1 species